ensembl:lncRNA
AGCAUCAUUUCAACAAAAAAGUCAUGCUUUUCUUGAAAUUUUUUACCAGGCACAAAUGAGGUCCAUUCUGAAGAUGCAUUAGUGUUGCAUUUGCACUUGGCAUCAGGUCAGGAUAAACUGGUGGACCAGUUGCAAGGGCAGCAAGCUGAAGUUAAGCAACUUCAGAACACACUGAGAGAACAGCAAAACGCUCUACUAGCCCACCAAAGAGAAAUACUGGACCAACAACAGAUUAUGUUUGAAAAGAUGGAAGAAGUCAAGACCCAGUACAACCUUCUUCUUGACGGGGUCAAACAGUUAUCUGUGCAAGGCCCACAGGGCGUCACUGAGAGCCAUUUGGAUGGUCUCCAGUCCCAGGUUACGACCUUUUCUCAGGAGGCCUUUGCAAUGCAUAAGAUGAACAUGGAUGCUAGUGUUACAGAUGCUGACAGACCUCUACCUGGCUGUGGAUCCUGCCGAUCAGAUGAGUACUGCGACUUCAGUGCAGACCGGCCACGUUGUGAGAAAUGCACUGUUUGCCCUCCGGGAUUCUUUCUGGUGGCUCAAUGUUCCAUUCACGCUGACAGGAUUUGCCAGGACAGAGACGAAUGCCUGGAGAUACCAAACUUAUGUAAAGAACGCAACCAGUGCCUCAAUACACCAGGU